rnacentral:tRNA from 1 species
UCUUUUAGCUUAUAAUGAGAGCACUUUACUGAAGAUAAAGAGGUCUAAAAAAAA